AAAUCAGGCAGGACUACCCGCUGAACUUAAGCAUAUCAAUAAGCGGAGGAAAAGAAACUAACAAGGAUUCCCCUAGUAACUGCGAGUGAACCGGGAAAAGCUCAAAUUUUGAAUCCGGCG
rnacentral:rRNA from 1 species